rnacentral:rRNA from 1 species
UGAGGAACAUGACCUUCGGCGGGGGAUAGCCGGCCCAACGGCCGGGUAAUACCGCGUACGACCACAUGGGGACAUCCCUGAGUGGUGAAAGCAGCAAUGCGCCGAUGGAGUGCCUCGCGGCCUAUCAGCUAGUUGGUGAGGUAACGGCUCACCAAGGCGACGACGGGUAGCUGGUCUGAGAGGAUGGCCAGCCACAUUGGGACUGAGAUACGGCCCAGACCUCUACGGGAGG